GCUGCUUCUCCGCCUUUUGGCUAAGAUCAAGGGUAGUAUCAGUUCUUAUCAGUUUAAAAGCAAAACCUUUUGAGGGAACCCCAC
rnacentral:snRNA from 1 species